CCGGGGACUAGCCCGGGUGGUUCGACGUCACCUGUUACCCGAAACCGCCGGUACGCGGGGGGCGAAGUCUGAGGAAGACACAGUCGGCCAUCGGAACUUGCGUAUAUCCUGACUGAGAAACCUCGUCCUGUGAGGCCGGCGGACAGGGAUCGAAUCCCCGGAGGGGGUGGAGACCUGGUGCCGCGGGGACCGGUUCAGGCCCGGAAGGGAGCAGACCUACCGUGGACGUACGGCGCCCACGGGGUUGCGGGGUGGAGGAGGGACGCACGCGAUACCGGCGGAACGUGGUGCCGACCGAGGACGUGUCCCCAC
rnacentral:SRP_RNA from 1 species